rnacentral:rRNA from 1 species
GACGAACCGAGCGAACGUUGUUCGGAAUCACUGGGCUUAAAGGGCGCGUAGGCGGCUUGCCAAGUCAGGGGUGAAAUUUUGCGGCUUAACCGUAACAGUGCCUUUGAUACUGGCAGGCUCGAGGGAGGUAGGGGUCCGCGGAACUUCUGGUGGAGCGGUGAAAUGCGUUGAUAUCAGAAGGAACGCCGGUGGCGAAAGCGGCGGACUGGAUCUCUUCUGACGCUGAGGCGCGAAAGCUAGGGGAGCAAACGGGG